UACGUAGGGAGCAAGCGUUGUCCGGAAUCAUUGGGCGUAAAGCGCGCGUAGGUGGCUUCAUAAGUCCGCUGUGAAAGUCAAAGGCUCAACCUUUGAAAGCCGGUGGAUACUGUGAAGCUAGAGUACGGAAGAGGCGAGUGGAAUUCCUGGUGUAGCGGUGGAAUGCGCAGAUAUCAGGAGGAACACCAAUAGCGAAGGCAGCUCGCUGGGACGUUACUGACACUGAGGCGCGGAAGCGUGGGGAGCGAACAGG
rnacentral:rRNA from 1 species